rnacentral:rRNA from 1 species
UUAAAGUAGUAAGGGCGCAGGGUGGAUGCCUUGGCACUAAGAGCCGAUGAAAGACGUGAUAAGCUGCGAAAAGCUUCGGGGAGGAGCACAUAUCCAAUGAUCCGGAGAUAUCUGAAUGGGGAAACCCGGCAGAGGAAACCUCUGUCAGCGUGCAGUGAAUACAUAGCUGUACGUGGGGAACCCGGGGAACUGAAACAUCUAAGUACCCGGAGGAAGAGAAAGAAAAUUUAUCGAUUUCCAAAGUAGCGGCGAGCGAAAUGGAAAGAGCCCAAACCGUGAUGCGUGCAUCGCGGGGUUCGGACUGCGUUGUGGCAGACGUAAGAUAGGAGAACGGACUGGGAAGUCCGGCCGGAGAGAGUGAAAGCCUCGUAUCCGAAAUCCCAAGUCGCCUAGCAGGAUCCAGAGUAGGACGAGACACGAGAAACCUUGUCUGAACGAGCGGGGACCACCCCGUAAGGCUAAAUACUUCUUAGUGACCGAUAGCGCAUAGUACUGUGAAGGAAAGGUGAAAAGUACCCCGGGAGGGGAGUGAAAGAGAACCUGAAACCCUGUGUCUACAAGCUGUGGGACCUCUUUAUAUGAGGGACUGCGUACUUUUUGUAGAACGGUCCGGCGAGUUGUGCGUACUGGCGAGGUUAAGGACUUAAGGUCUGGAGCCGAAGUGAAAGCAAGCGUUAAUAGCGCGUCAAGUCAGUGAGUGCAGACCCGAAACCGGGUGACCUAUCCAUGUCCAGGUUGAAGCUUCCGUAAGAGGAAGUGGAGGACCGAACCCACAUCCGUUGAAAAGGGUGGGGAUGAGGUGUGGAUAGCGGAGAAAUUCCAAUCGAACCCGGAGAUAGCUGGUUCUCCUCGAAAUAGCUUUAGGGCUAGCCUCAUGAGAGUCUUAUGGAGGUAGAGCACUGAAUUGCCUAGGGGGCGUCAAAGCUUACCAAAGCAUAUCAAACUCCGAAUGCCAUCAAGAUGAUUCAUGGGAGUCAGACCAUACGAGAUAAGUUGGAUGGUCAAAAGGGAAAGAGCCCAGACCUACAGCUAAGGUCCCAAAGUACGUGUUAAGUGGAAAAGGAUGUGGGGAUUCUAAGACAACUAGGACGUUGGCUUAGAAGCAGCCAUUCAUUGAAAGAGUGCGUAAUAGCUCACUAGUCGAGAGUCCCUGCGCCGAAAAUGUCCGGGGCUGAAACACGACACCGAAGCUUAGGAAUGUGUAAACAUUGGUAGAGGAGCAUUGCUGGCGGGAUGAAGCCAUACCGUAAGGAGUGGUGGACUGCUAGGAAGAGAGAAUGCCGGAAUGAGUAGCGAGAUGAAGGUGAGAAUCCUUCAGGCCGAAUAUCUAAGGUUUCCAGAGUAAAGCUGAUCUGCUCUGGGUAAGUCGGGACCUAAGGCGAGGUCGAAAGACGUAGUCGAUGGAUAACAGGUUGAAAUUCCUGUACCGCAUAUAAACAGAACUGUGGGGACACAGACAGGGAAUGGAAUCCGGGAAUGGAAAUCCCGGUGCAAGCGAGGUAGGAGUGCUGUUGGCAAAUCCGCAGCACGAUCUGAAGACGUGACGCGUACCGAACAUAAGUAGGGAAGUCCAGGCCCCUGGCUGUCAAGAAAAGCCGCUAUCGUUUUAUAUGUGCCCGUACCGCAAACCGACACAGGUGGAUGAGGAGAGAAUCCUAAGGCCGACGGGAGAAGUAUUGUUAAGGAACUCGGCAAAAUGACUCCGUAACUUCGGGAGAAGGAGUGCCAUGAGAGUGGCCGCAGAGAAAUGGCCCAAGCAACUGUUUAGCAAAAACACAGGUCUAUGCAAAACCGCAAGGUGAAGUAUAUGGGCUGACGCCUGCCCGGUGCUGGAAGGUUAAGGGGAGAGGUUAGCGCAAGCGAAGCUUUGAACUUAAGCCCCAGUAAACGGCGGCCGUAACUAUAACGGUCCUAAGGUAGCGAAAUUCCUUGUCGGGUAAGUUCC